CCUACGGGAGGCAGCAGUGGGGAAUAUUGGACAAUGGGCGAAAGCCUGAUCCAGCCAUGCCGCAUGUGUGAAGAAGGCCUUCGGGUUGUAAAGCACUUUCAGUGGGGAAGAAAGCCUUGGGGCUAAUACCCUCGAGGAAGGACAUCACCCACAGAAGAAGCACCGGCUAACUCCGUGCCAGCAGCCGCGGUAAUACGGAGGGUGCGAGCGUUAAUCGGAAUUACUGGGCGUAAAGCGCGCGUAGGCGGUCUGAUAAGCCGGUUGUGAAAGCCCCGGGCUCAACCUGGGAACGGCAUCCGGAACUGUCAGGCUAGAGUGCAGGAGAGGAAGGUAGAAUUCCCGGUGUAGCGGUGAAAUGCGUAGAGAUCGGGAGGAAUACCAGUGGCGAAGGCGGCCUUCUGGACUGACACUGACGCUGAGGUGCGAAAGCGUGGGUAGCAAACAGGAUUAGAUACCCUGGUAGUC
rnacentral:rRNA from 1 species